rnacentral:rRNA from 1 species
AUACGUAGGUGGCAAGCGUUGUCCGGAAUUAUUGGGCGUAAAGCGCGCGCAGGUGGUUCCUUAAGUCUGAUGUGAAAGCCCCCGGCUCAACCGGGGAGGGUCGUUGGAAACUGGGGAACUUGAGUGCAGAAGAGGAUAGUGGAAUUCCAAGUGUAGCGGUGAAAUGCGUAGAGAUUUGGAGGAACACCAGUGGCGAAGGCGACUGUCUGGUCUGUAACUGACACUGAGGCGCGAAAGCGUGGGGAGCAAACAGGAUUAGAUACCCUGGUAGUCCACGCCGUAAACGAUGAGUGCUAAGUGUUGGGGGGUUUCCGCCCCUCAGUGCUGCAGCUAACGCAUUAAGCACUCCGCCUGGGGAGUACGGUCGCAAGACUGAAACUCAAAGGAAUUGACGGGG